GACGGGUCUAACCGGCCCCACCUCUUCAUCCGUGUCUACAUACCAAUGUUGCUUUGGCGAGCC
rnacentral:rRNA from 1 species